AGGGGAGUGAAAUAGAUCCUGAAACCGUAUGCGUACAAGCAGUGGGAGCCCACUUUGUUGGGUGACUGCGUACCUUUUGUAUAAUGGGUCAGCGACUUAUUUUCAGUGGCGAGCUUAACCGAAUAGGGGAGGCGUAGCGAAAGCGAGUCUUAAUAGGGCGUCUAGUCGCUGGGAAUAGACCCGAAACCGGGCGAUCUAUCCAUGGGCAGGUUGAAGGUUAGGUAACACUGACUGGAGGACCGAACCGACUACCGUUGAAAAGUUAGCGGAUGACCUGUGGAUCGGAGUGAAAGGCUAAUCAAGCUCGGAGAUAGCUGGUUCUCCUCGAAAGCUAUUUAGGUAGCGCCUCAUGUAUCACUGUAGGGGGUAGAGCACUGUUUCGGCUAGGGGGUCAUCCCGACUUACCAAACCGAUGCAAACUCCGAAUACCUACAAGUGCCGAGCAUGGGAGACACACGGCGGGUGCUAACGUCCGUCGUGAAAAGGGAAACAACCCAGACCGUCAGCUAAGGUCCCAAAGUUAUGGUUAAGUGGGAAACGAUGUGGGAAGGCUUAGACAGCUAGGAGGUUGGCUUAGAAGCAGCCACCCUUUAAAGAAAGCGUAAUAGCUCACUAGUCGAGUCGGCCUGCGCGGAAGAUGUAACGGGGCUCAAACCAUACACCGAAGCUACGGGUAUCACGCAAGUGAUGCGGUAGAGGAGCGUUCUGUAAGCCUGUGAAGGUGAGUUGAGAAGCUUGCUGGAGGUAUCAGAAGUGCGAAUGCUGACAUGAGUAACGACAAUGGGUGUGAAAAACACCCACGCCGAAAGACCAAGGUUUCCUGCGCAACGUUAAUCGACGCAGGGUUAGUCGGUCCCUAAGGCGAGGCUGAAAAGCGUAGUCGAUGGAAAACAGGUUAAUAUUCCUGUACUUCUGGUUAUUGCGAUGGAGGGACGGAGAAGGCUAGGCCAGCUUGGCGUUGGUUGUCCAAGUUUAAGGUGGUAGGCUGGAAUCUUAGGUAAAUCCGGGAUUCUAAGGCCGAGAGCUGAUGACGAGUUACCCUUUGGGUGACGAAGUGGUUGAUGCCAUGCUUCCAAGAAAAGCUUCUAAGCUUCAGGUAACCAGGAACCGUACCCCAAACCGACACAGGUGGUUGGGUAGAGAAUACCAAGGCGCUUGAGAGAACUCGGGUGAAGGAACUAGGCAAAAUGGCACCGUAACUUCGGGAGAAGGUGCGCCGGUGAGGGUGAAGCACUUGCUGCGUAAGCCCACGCCGGUCGAAGAUACCAGGCCGCUGCGACUGUUUAUUAAAAACACAGCACUCUGCAAACACGAAAGUGGACGUAUAGGGUGUGACGCCUGCCCGGUGCCGGAAGGUUAAUUGAUGGGGUUAGCUAACGCGAAGCUCUUGAUCGAAGCCCCGGUAAACGGCGGCCGUAACUAUAACGGUCCUAAGGUAGCGAAAUUCCUUGUCGGGUAAGUUCCGACCUGCACGAAUGGCGUAACGAUGGCGGCGCUGUCUCCACCCGAGACUCAGUGAAAUUGAAAUCGCUGUGAAGAUGCAGUGUAUCCGCGGCUAGACGGAAAGACCCCGUGAACCUUUACUAUAGCUUUGCACUGGACUUUGAAUUUGCUUGUGUAGGAUAGGUGGGAGGCUUUGAAGCGUGGACGCCAGUUCGCGUGGAGCCAUCCUUGAAAUACCACCCUGGCAACUUUGAGGUUCUAACUCAGGUCCGUUAUCCGGAUCGAGGACAGUGUAUGGUGGGUAGUUUGACUGGGGCGGUCUCCUCCUAAAGAGUAACGGAGGAGUACGAAGGUGCGCUCAGACCGGUCGGAAAUCGGUCGUAGAGUAUAAAGGCAAAAGCGCGCUUGACUGCGAGACAGACACGUCGAGCAGGUACGAAAGUAGGUCUUAGUGAUCCGGUGGUUCUGUAUGGAAGGGCCAUCGCUCAACGGAUAAAAGGUACUCCGGGGAUAACAGGCUGAUACCGCCCAAGAGUUCAUAUCGACGGCGGUGUUUGGCACCUCGAUGUCGGCUCAUCACAUCCUGGGGCUGAAGCCGGUCCCAAGGGUAUGGCUGUUCGCCAUUUAAAGUGGUACGCGAGCUGGGUUUAGAACGUCGUGAGACAGUUCGGUCCCUAUCUGCCGUGGACGUUUGAGAUUUGAGAGGGGCUGCUCCUAGUACGAGAGGACCGGAGUGGACGAACCUCUGGUGUUCCGGUUGUCACGCCAGUGGCAUUGCCGGGUAGCUAUGUUCGGAAAAGAUAACCGCUGAAAGCAUCUAAGCGGGAAACUUGCCUCAAGAUGAGAUCUCACUGG
rnacentral:rRNA from 3 species